GGAAACCAUGGUAACAUCAGUGCUUCUGUUGAGCACAGUGGUCACUCAAAAGAGGCAGAGUGAGUUCAGCCUAUCAUUUGAGAUCCGAGUAUGAUUGGGGAAAUAUCCUGAAAUAGUCUAUGAUUUGAAGAAAUGGAUAGAUGGCUAGAAUAACAUGCUAGAUGGUAGUCAAGUUACUAACUGCAGAAUUGAUUUGAUAAAAUUCUCAUCGUGUCUCCUGACUUAGGAGAAAUAUUGGGUCUGAUGAAUGGGUAAAAUUCCCAGGUGAAAAGAAUUUGGUCUGUAAGAUUUGGCAGCACCCUGAGGUUUGCCAUAUCUGAUGGCCUGGCUUUAGUGGCAGCACCUAGUGAAGGCCCAGGUGUCCUUCUGACAACCUUUACCACCUACCGUUUUGUCCUUACUUAUGUUGAAUCACUACACACAGGCUGUUGAAUUCAGCUGUCUGUGGAGAAAUUAUACCAACCACAUGGUUAGACAGAAGGAAUACAAUAUAUUGCUUAAUUUGUAUCUGAAAGCUAAGCAACAUGGAAAAAAAUCAAGCAUGCUCAGUCACUUCCAUGAGGACAAACGAAGACACUUCAAGGAGGACAUUGACAUGGAUCUGCCAGCUUUCUAAGACUUUCCCCAGAUUCAAGUCCAGUCACAUCAAGUUGCCUUAUUAAAGGGUCUGCCCACUCAAAAGGAGAAAGUGCAAAAGAUGCUCAGCAAGGGUAGCAAACGCAGUCAGAUGAUACUUCCUGACAGCAUCCAAGAGCAAGUCUCACCACCACAUCUGUCAAUAAAAAAGAAAACAAGGAGCUGCCAAUUUGUCUAUUUAUAGGUGCCAAUAAAAUCCUGCACAGAACUUUAGUCAACAAGACUAUUUCAGAAGGGGUGGCCAACAGUGUGGCCUUUCACUGGCAAGGGCCACCUUUGUCAUCACUUAAGAAAGAAAACCUGCCAAGUUUUCUGUGAGGCCCUCAAUAAAUCUUACUGAGUAUUUCCAUACACAUCAGCCACCUUAACUUGAGGAAAGCCAACUUGGAAUAUCCAGCACAAUAAGCAUUGAAGAAACAAAUGGCAACGCAAGCUUAAAGAAUUCCAAGCCAUUAUGAACUGACUCUUCAAAUAAGUGCUUAUUUUCACAUAACCAGGGAGUUUCUGGAUUAACUUCCAUAUAAGACAUAUUUAUUAAAAGAUUUGCACCCCUAUUGCUGGCACUGGGUGGACCUCCCCAAACGCUCUGCCCUUGGUGCUCUUCUGCCGGUUAUUCUCGUCCAUGACCCCAGAGCCAGGGAGAAUCUCACCAGUGCAGCCCAGGGCACUUCUGAUAACAUCUGAGCAGAGUGAAGGAGAAGAAACGCACGAGGCAGGCAUCUCAUUUAUGGAAGUGCUCCUCUGGGUCAAGCCCUCUGCCAAUAAUUUUCAUGCAUAAUGGCCCUUUCAUUCUCCCCAAAAAUUCUUCAAGGGAGGGUGAUAAUCCCAGGAUAUGGAAACAAGGAAAAGCAGACUACAAGAAAACUGGCAUGAUUCUUCUGGUCUUCACCAAGCAAAACAAUUGUUUUUUAAAAGGAGAAUAAUUCAGUCUACUCAUUCAUUUAAAGCAAGAAAUUUUGAAGAGGAUGAAAUGAGAAUUCCACAACUCCUUACUUAAAACCAUAAUUGGAAAAUCCCCAUAAGAUUGUCCUCUGGGUUCACACCUAGGGAUCAAAUUUCAGGUAAAGCUGUGUUUUAACAAGAUUCACCCAAUUCUUC
rnacentral:lncRNA from 1 species